rnacentral:rRNA from 1 species
GAUGAACGCUGGCGGCGUGCCUAAUACAUGCAAGUCGAGCGAACGGACGAGAAGCUUGCUUCUCUGAUGUUAGCGGCGGACGGGUGAGUAACACGUGGAUAACCUACCUAUAAGACUGGGAUAACUUCGGGAAACCGGAGCUAAUACCGGAUAAUAUUUUGAACCGCAUGGAUCAAAAGUGAAAGACGGUCUUGCUGUCACUUAUAGAUGGAUCCGCGCUGCAUUAGCUAGUUGGUAAGGUAACGGCUUACCAAGGCAACGAUGCAUAGCCGACCUGAGAGGGUGAUCGGCCACACUGGAACUGAGACACGGUCCAGACUCCUACGGGAGGCAGCAGUAGGGAAUCUUCCGCAAUGGGCGAAAGCCUGACGGAGCAACGCCGCGUGAGUGAUGAAGGUCUUCGGAUCGUAAAACUCUGUUAUUAGGGAAGAACAUAUGUGUAAGUAACUGUGCACGUCUUGACGGUACCUAAUCAGAAAGCCACGGCUAACUACGUG